CACGGGCAGUACCAACGGCAGGCCGCAAAGUGUCCUAAGCCCGGUAGCGAUGACGUUAGGCAACACAAUGGCCAAGGGACCUUAUACGGCCCGGUACCCCAUGUAAGGCCAAACGCCGUGGGUACCACCGUGCCUCGGCUGUUCUCGACCGUCUCGACUGACUCACCGCGAUUGGAAGGAUUGGUCCUUUGCCCAGUUGUUCGAAGGCGUUCGCGCGUUGCAGUGACCGACCAGAUUUUCGAAGAGUGGGUGCCGACGGGCGUUCGAAAUGAUCCGAACGUCCGGCACUUCAGACCACCUGUCCACUAAACCGUCCACCAACACACCAAAAUGCCCAAUUGAGGGGUCCAACCCUAGCCAGGACCCGUGCUCAACCUGGACCCUACGACCCUGAGACGUCCUGGACCCUGCAGGGUGCCAGGUCCACCCCUGAGGGUGAGCAGAAGCAACAGGUGCGGUGUGUCUGUGACCCCACCAGAGCGCGGUCGACUUGAUCUCUCUCCCAAGUCGGUCAGAGCCAGCGCCAACGUUGAUGUCGAAAUCACGACGGACGGAAUCAAAGGAAUUCACCAACUGCAUAAUGGAUAAUGUAAAUUUAAUCAAGAUAGACUGACAAGCUUUAAAUAUAUGUAGUGUAUUUGUUACAAUAGUAUAUGUAAUGUAGUGUUUAUUUUGAUUUUAAAUUUUUGUAUUGAUUGGUGUUGUUCACAGUAUUCAUUUGAGAAUUGUAUUUUAAUUUUACAUUUUUUUCUAUUCUUGAGUUUAUAAGUUUAUUUACUCCAGAAAUAUUAGGUGUAAUAGAAGCAGAACAAAGUAAGUAUAAAAAAGUUAUAUAAAAUAGUUGAAAUUUGUCGCAUUUUUUUGCAUAAAAAUUAAUGAUGAAGAGGAUUUUAUGGCGACUCAAUUUCUAUUUAGGAAAAGUGACUUCUAGUCGAGUGGAUCAAUUUCAGUUUUUUCUAGUCACAUAAUUCUCAAAUUUAUCUAUUUAUUCAUGUUUGUUCAUUAGAGAGGAAUAUUCCAGAAGUUAACACAAAAAAUAGAUUAAUAUGUUACGAAUUCGAAGUUUUUUAAUAUUGCGAAAUUGAUCUCUAAUUUUCAUUAAUCAUAAUGGUAAUUUGUCAAUUAUUUUUAAAUCGAAAUAUUUUUUACUAUAAUCUUAGUUGAUAGUUAACGUUAAGUAAGCGAAUAGAAGAUAAUGGGAAAUUCACAUGAUGAUAGCGAACAGUUUUUGAUUUUUAAGAAGUCCUUCCCGAUGAUAUAUGUAGGAAAGCGGAAAAACAUUUCCGGAAAAAUAAUACAUCAUAAAAAUAAGUCAAAAUUUCAUCUUUAUUGAGUAUUUUUUUUCAACUCAUUCCUUCUAUUCGCUAUUCAUUACCUACAAGCUCUUUCAAUAAUUUAUUUUUAUUUGUCUAUUUUAACUUCUAACGUGCCAUAUAGUACUAAACAAAAAUUAAGUCGGAUCAAAUUUUUUUUUUUGGGUUUUUAUUUCCGAUGUGAAACCUUGUUAUUUUAGAGAUUUUUUAGAAUUGUUCAUGAAACGAGAGACAUAAAUAGCUUUAAGAAUCAAAAUUAUCCAAAUUUGGUUUCAAAUAAUAUAAGUUUCGGUUUUGAGUUAAUAAACAUUAAUAAUACUUCCGUUUUCUUAGUGGAUUGUACUUCACAGGCAAAGUCAUCGUAAUAUCGCAGUUUCAAACAUAUAGUCUUUCAGAUUAAAAAUAUAUUUUGCUAACAAAACUUCUCUAGGACAUAUGCCAUCAAAUUGUUACUGUUUGAAGAGGCAUAUGAAGAAAUCUAUCUUCAAUAAUU